CCUACAUGUCCUGUGGUGCCUGAUCCAUCAUGGAAGGUAAGAUUGUAGAUAGCUUCUGUCUCUCUUUUUGGUAAAGACUUUGCUACGCUAACUAAUAAUCUGAGUUAUAAUAGUCCAAUGAGAACACAAGAGCCCUUAGUACAUCACGAAUCGGCUUGAUUUUCUUGAGUUUCCCCAGCUUGUUGUCCUGUGGUUAGCCCCACCCUAGAAAUCCGAGGCCAGCUCCCACACUUUGUUUGAGUUAGACUCCCUUCCAGGCAGACGAAAGCAGCUGAUGUUGGAGAACAAGGCAAGCCAGGUCUUGUGAAGUCAAAUGCAGAGAGUCCUUUUCCCAGAGAAAUACUUGUGCAUGUAGAUGAGAAGAACUGAGCAUAAGAGGGUGCUGAUGACAGGGGAUGUAGGCACCGUAUAACCUAAACAGACAUUGACACCACAUCAAAAGAGGGACAGGUACUGUAGAACAAUGACAGAAGAUACAGAGGCGUGUGUAUGGAAGGAAAUUCUUGAAAAGGUAAACCAAUUAACCUUUACCAGGAAGCUAGUACAAAGAGAAGGGGUGGUAAAACGACAUCAUUUGUAAAGAUCAGAUUUCUCGCUCCUGCCAAAAAUAUGCCUACGAAUGCCAGGAGACAGACUACAUUUGCUCUACCUUGUAAUCUACAGAGUUGCCAUGGAGACCAGGUGAUACAUGGAUGCAAAUUCAGUGGCUGGGCAGAAGUUUCAAGGUCAGGGCAAGGGAAAAGACAGACAGUAAAUGAGACUGCAGAGGCAACACUAACAAGCAAGGUUCUGCAAGGGCUGAACAUCACAUUCAUCACACUUUGGAGUUUGCCCUCGGAGAUCCCCCUCCUGGAGCAGGGGAAUUCCUGAUCUAUCAACUUCUGUGUCAGUCUCCUGAACCGGAGGACCGGCUUCUUUUCCCUUCUUCUCCAUACUCAAGAAAACACCUUAAUGAGAGAGCUGGCUGCAAAAUCCCUUCCAAGAGAUCAUGGGUCAUCACAGUCAGAGACAUGUCAAAGCACAGGCAGUGCAGGCUGGGUGGAAAUGCGGUUUGGAAAUUCAGAAGGAGUUUACCACUUGAAUAACAGAUGCAUUGUGUCAUUUCUUCUGGUGGUCAUUUUGACAUCGAAGCAAUCAUCUUGAAUUUUGCUAUUUCUUUCUAAUUUUAAUUCCCUUCUAUUUGGCUUUAUUAUUAAUCCAGAGAAGGCUUUUCUUUUUUUUUCCAAAAAAGACAAAUAUUUGGUAUUGAUCAUCUUACCAAGAAGAACAGAAGAGUAUGGCCAUGUUACCUUAGAGCUAUUAAUGCUAUUGCAGCAUAGGAUGGAACAAUUGAGGCUUCAUUUGUGCGGGGAGAGAAUUCAGUCUUCUUCAAAGCUGAUCUCUCUCUCUCUCUGUGUGUGUGUGUGUGUGUGUGUGUGUGUGUGUGUAUCUAAUACCAGGAUCUCAUUUUAUCUGUAAUUGAAACGUAAACUAAUGCACUAAUAUUAGUCUAUCACCUAUCGAGAAAAAGAGAGUCUUCAGUGAUCAGAAAUCAACUUAAUACACUCUAAGUCCUUUUAACAUCUUACACCACUUAAACCACACAGGCACAUGCAUGGGGUGAGUGUAAAAACAAACGGACACGUCAUAGAAGACAGUUCGCAAUUUUAUCAGAAGUCUUAAAAUAUAUUUACACUAUGAAUUCGUGUUUCACUGCGAAGAAUAUAUCCUAAGAAAGUAAUUUCAAUGCUGCAGUUAACUGUUGCUUCUGCCUGCCCUGGAAAGGUUGUUCCUUCCGCUACUGGCACCCAAAUUCCCUCUGGGAAUGUCUCUCGUGCCCACUCUCCCCCCAUGCGUUUACGUGGGGCUGGUGCCCUCCUCUGCUUAGAGAGCAGUCCCAGUGUCAGGUCUAAGGAAUUAGUGAAUGUCAUUGUUUUGCACUGUAAUCUGUUCAAAGCUCUAGGCCAGGCAUGUCCCAGAACAUUAAUAGAACUGUGGAAAUAAGAAGGUCUCUUGUUAAUCACAUGUAUUGCCGGAAGGAUAUGAGCUUGAAAAGGUAGGGUACCACCACACGGACAGAACCUAACUAAGAAGGUAUCUGUCACAGAAAACAGUAGGGCUGAGCAUGUGAACCUAGAACGGACGCCUGGCCUCUCUCACCAUCGGUUAGAAUCUUGGCUUGAGGAAGACAGAGCUUCUGUGUGCACUGCUGUAUCUCUGCUACCAAGAAUGUCAUUUGGGAGAUGCUCAUAAAUUGUGGAAUAAAGACUUUGGGGAACAAACUCCUGAUGAGGGCCCUCGAGUACCUCCACGAAGCCAUUCCUAAAGCCAAUGUACUUCUUUCCAGUCACGACAUUUAACACAUUCUUGUUGUGUGGGUGUGUGUUUGUUUUCUGGCUUAAGGCAGCUUGAAUUGGGUUCAUAACAAAUAAACAUUUCUAAUACAAGAGAUGUCUGCACAGGGGUUUAUUCACGAUACUCGUCUCACAGUUUGCUCUGGACUGUGGUUAUUUUGUAUUUCGCUAGCUGGGGAGGAUGAACGUGAGACAGCCAAGUAGAAAGGGCUCCCCGAAAGAACCUCGGUCCGGCCUGGACACUGGGAGGCUGCGCGCUGGGGUGCGGGCUCGGGAGGUUCGCGUCCUUUGCAGGAGGGAGGAGCCUGGCCUCUCCUGUUCUGGGGUGAAACUGGGGAUUCCGUCUGUG
ensembl:lncRNA